rnacentral:misc_RNA from 1 species
UUUCCGUAGGUGAACCAGCGGAAGGAUCAUUAACGAGUAAGGGUCAUUCUGGCCCGACUUCCAACCCUUCGCUUAACUACUAUGUUGCCUUGGCGGGCCCGUUUCACGACACCCGGAAGGGCUCGGACUUCUCGCCCGUCCCCGCCAAUAGCCUCCUACAAUCACUUGAUCCUCUGUGAUGUCUGUGUUAUAAAUUUAAUAGUUAAAACUUUCAACAACGGUUCUUUUGGUUCUCGCAGCGAUAAACAACGGAGCAGAACGGAACACGUCACGACUGAA